GAAAAGAAUGCUAAUACCGCAUAAUAUAUAUUUAUCGCAUGGUAGAUAUAUCAAAGAUUUAUCGCUUAGAGAUGGACUCGCGUCCGAUUAGUUAGUUGGUGAGGUAACGGCUCACCAAGACCGCGAUCGGUAGCCGGACUGAGAGGUUGAACGGCCACAUUGGGACUGAGACACGGCCCAGACUCCUACGGGAGGCAGCAGUGGGGGAUAUUGCGCAAUGGGGGAAACCCUGACGCAGCAACGCCGCGUGAAGGAUGAAGGUCUUCGGAUUGUAAACUUCUUUUAUUAAGGACGAAGAAAGUGACGGUACUUAAUGAAUAAACUCCGGCUAACUACGUGCCAGCAGCCGCGGUAAUACGUAGGGAGCAAGCGUUGUCCGGAUUUACUGGGUGUAAAGGGUGCGCAGGCGGCUUUGCAAGUCAGAUGUGAAAUCUAUGGGCUCAACCCAUAGCCUGCAUUUGAAACUGCAGAGCUUGAGUGAAGUAGAGGCAGGCGGAAUUCCCCGUGUAGCGGUGAAAUGCGUAGAGAUGGGGAGGAACACCAGUGGCGAAGGCGGCCUGCUGGGCUUUAACUGACGCUGAGGCACGAAAGCGUGGGUAGCAAACAGGAUUAGAUACCCUGGUAGUCCACGCUGUAAACGAUGAUUACUAGGUGUGGGGGGUCUGACCCCUUCCGUGCC
rnacentral:rRNA from 1 species